UAGGGAAUCUUCCACAAUGGGCGAAAGCCUGAAGUGGAGCAACGCCGCGUGUGUGAUGAAGGGUUUCGGCUCGUAAAACACUGUUGUAAGAGAAGAAUGACAUUGAGAGUAACUGUUCAAUGUGUGACGGUAUCUUACCAGAAAGGAACGGCUAAAUACGUGCCA
rnacentral:rRNA from 1 species